rnacentral:rRNA from 1 species
ACGCUCGACACCUACGGAGGCAGCAGUCGGGAAUAUUGCGCAAUGGAGGAAACUCUGACGCAGUGACGCCGCGUGCAGGAAGAAGGUUUUCGGAUUGUAAACUGCUUUAGACAGGGAAGAAAGAAAUGACAGUACCUGUAGAAUAAGCUCCGGCUAACUACGUACCAGCAGCCGCGGUAAUCUGAGCGGGCUGGCAAGGC